ACACUCUGAGUUCUCUUCAACUCGUAUAAAUCUUUCGCCUUUUACUAAAGAUUUCCGUGGAGAGGACUAGCAUGAGUUUUUAACAAUUUUUUGAUGCCCUGCGCAAGCGGGGCU
ensembl:snRNA U5 U5 spliceosomal RNA